UAUGCUCUUAAUUUAGAUAAACACGAUGCUCUCCCUUGCCUCCCCCAAAUGGGCUGAAAAGGAAGUGGCUUGGCUUGGUUUUGAUGUUGCCCUGGAGUGUCACAAUAGACAAAGGUGACCCAGGAAAUUGACAAGCAAUAUUUAAUGUUACAGUGUCAAAUUUUAUAUUGGUCUUUAAAUGAAAAGGCCUACACUAAAAAGAGAAAGUAGAAAAAGAAAGUUGGGGACCUAGAGGGUCUUAGAUUAUGAGAACUUUGAAGUCUGUGUCCUUUAGUGACAGAUGUUCUUAAGAAUAUACCAUACCAGCCAGGUGUGGAGGUUCACACCUGUGAUCCCAGCACUCGGGAGGCUGAGGUGGGAGGAUCUUUGCGAGUUCCAGACCAGCCUGGGCUACAAAGUGAGAUCAAGGCCAGCCUGAACUGCAUAACGAGACCCUGUCUCAAAAAAGAUUAAAAAAAAGAGAAAAAAAAGAAUAUAUUAUACCUUCCCUUAUCCAUCAGUAGAUUGUUCACCCAUACAUACUUUGCAGUUUUUCUUUAGAGUCUAAUUUCUUUUUGAGACAGGAUCUCACUAUAUGUAGCCCAAACUGACCUGGAAGUCUCAGGGAUCUUCUUGCCUCAGUCUCCCAAGUACUGGGAUUACAGGCAUACACUACCACACCCAGCUGGGUUCUAGUUCUUAACCCAUUGCUCCAAAUUAUUCCUAAUGAGAAGCCAUUCUUACAAAUAAUGAUUUAUUAUUUUGACUAAAAGCUCUGCCUGGUAGGCAUAUUUUGUUCCUUAAGUGUAUCUUUUGGGGACCUUAGUUCUAUUUAAAAGGACAGAGCCACCUAGUGACUUUUUGCAUCUAUUACAGCACGCAUUCCUGUCCUGGGGAUCAGUGGGCUAAGCUCCCAGCUAGCUAGCUGAAACUUACAUUUCUCUAUUUUCAAUCACAUGUUGAUUAUAUAAAUUUAAAACUCUUGCCACUGUGGUGGUGCAUGUCUGUAAUCCUAGCACUCAGGAGGCUGAGGCAGGAGAAUCACUGUAACUUAGAGACUUGCCAGGACUACAUAGCAAGACCCUAUCUCAAAGAAACAAAAACAAAACAAAACACACACACACACCAAAAAACUAAACAAAACAAAACCUACUAUUGGUUAUGGCUGGGAAAAUUUACUGUUGAAAUUUCUCCCUGCCUAUGGCCGGCUUUCUGAGGCCAGGGUCUUGCUAUGUAGUCUAGGCUGGCCUUGACCAGUUAAAGCCUUUUUAAAAAAAUAUAAAUAAAUAUUAAAAGCAUUUAUACAGACUGCAAAGUAUGCCUAAAAUGCAAGUUUCCUGUAAUAACGUGGUUCAGUUCCCUUUUCACAUAAUAUAUUUAAGGCAAUUGAUUAAUGUUCUAUGCCAGUAUAAAAGGAUAGACUGUUCUGUAUUGUUAUCACCAAAAAGGACAAAUAAAUAAAACGUUUUGGAAAAUUAUUCAACUCAAACAAAAGAUCUCAUUUUCCACUGCCAGUUGGUAAUGCGCUUGUUGCAUCUUUGAAGUGGCCAGUUUUUCUUUCCAGGGAAGGAAAAAGGCUAUUAAAUUGGAAAUGGCCUCUGAGGUACUGUCUUUGAAUGGCUGGUUACCUCAGUUCAUCUCUGCAAACCCCCAACUACAAGUCUACCUGUGUUCCUAACCCUGCCUGCCACCCUGCAGUUAGUAAGCCCACUUAUUCCUUUGAGGGAACCAAAAGUCUUGGAGGAUGUAUGAAUCCCUGGAUGUAAUUCAUUGUUUUACACCUCUUGAAAACCAUAGGGUAAGCAAGAAUCAAUUUUUAAAAAAUUUCACGUUGAACUAAUGAACUCUACUUACAGGUGCCACAACUGGGGUGUAAAUAAGCCCAUUCAGGGGUAUGUAAGCAGGAAUACACACAAAACAAGCAAAAACCCAAAAUGGGAAUUGAGAAAUCUUUCUCAAAAAAAUGUACUGUGUGUGGUAUUACACACCUGUAAUCCCAGAAUUUAGGAGGCUGAGGCAGGAGGAUCAUUGUGAAUUCAAGGCCACCCUGGGUUUCAUAGGGAGUUCAAGGCCAGCCUGAACCACAUGGUGGGAUCCUGUCUCAAAAACAUGAAAAAGUAUUGUUUAAAAUAUGGUGGUUUAGGAGCUCCUGUGGUGCAGUUUGAGAGCGUGUGGUAUUUUCACGGUUUAAGAUGUGCUUUGGAGCUGGGCGUGGUGGCUCAUGCCUGUAAUCCCAAUAAGGAGAGGCCAUUCACAGAGUCACACACGUGCAGAGGAAAGGCCGUAGGGAGACUCAGGAAGAAGCAGACCCUCUGCACGCCCAGGACAGAGGCCCGAAGAGGAAAGCAACCAGUUGGGACCUUGAUCUCAGACUCCUCACCUCCAGAACCCUGAGGAAAUCAAUUUCUGUUCCUGAGGUCACCAGGGCUGGCUUUGAUUUGGGAGCCUCAGUGAGCAAGAGGCUGAGUUGGCAGGUCAGCCAGAACCAUGGUCUUCACCCAGCCUGGGUCCAGCCAGCACACCGAGUCCCUGAUCUUAGCUAGCAGAGGCCUCUCUGUUCUGCUGACUUCCGUUUCCUCAAACAGGAGCACCUCCCCAGUGUCCGUGCAUUCUAGACGGGCACAUGUUUCAGAGGCGGCCUCUUUGGAGCAGUGAUGCCAUCAGGUCUCUGUGACAAAGGAAGGAGGCAGAGAAAAAGACGGAGACACAGGGUUAACUGGUAAGUCUUCCUCUAAGCACUAUGAGCUGAACUGUGCGAGGAUGUGGCUUUUUAAUUUUUAUUUAUUUUUUGAUCACUCCAGAAGUCCUGAGUCCUGGUGUGGAAAGGGGUACAGGGCUGUCACUGUGCCAGGUUCUCCUGCUGGGACAGGGACACGGGAGAAGUGGGCGGGAGUACGAUGUAGUUACUGUCAGGCGUGAGCUUCCAGUUUGUGCAAGGUUUGCUUUUUGUUUUGUUUUUUGAGACAGGGUCUCCCUAUGUGCCUUAGGCUGGCCCUGACCUCCCUCUGUAGCCCGGGCUGUCCUCAAAGUUGUGGAGAGCGCCAGGAUGACA